UGCUAGUGAUGACACAUGAUAUAUAUUUUCAAACCAGUCUGAGGUUAGAACCUCAAAAUAAAAAGUAAAGGCAAAAAUUUUACCUCUGUAAGACGGAGUUGUGAAGAUGCGGCCAUAUAAUCUGACUCUAAUUUGUUCUUCUCAGAGAUCACAGAAGUCUAUAAACCAAUAUCCCUCAGGAAUACAAAAGCAAAAAUCCUUUGUAAAAUAUUGGUAAACAGAAUCCAGCAAUGUAUGAACAGUAUACAUGACCAAGCAGAGUUUAUGCCAGGAAUGCCAGACUGAUGUAACAGUCAAAAAUCAACUGAUCUAACUUAUCAUAUUAACAGAAUAAAGUGCAAAACCCAUAUUAUCAUCUUAGUAGAUGCAGGAAACCAUCUGAAAAAACUUGACAGCCAUUUACAAUAAAAAUUCUCAGUAAAAUAGGAAGAUGAGGGAACUUCCUCAACCUAAUAAAGAGCAUUUGUGGAAAAUCCACAGCAAACCUCAUACCUAAUGAUGAAACAUUAAGUGCUUUCCUCCUAAGGCUGGAAACAAGUAAGGGUGUCCAAUCUUGUCAUUUGAUAUAGUUUGGCUCUGUGUUCCCACUCAAAUCUCAUUCCAAAGUAUAAUCCCCACUUGCUGAGGGAGGGACCUGGUGGGAGGUGACUGGAUCAUGGGGGCGGUUUCCCCCAUGCUGUUUCGUGAUAGUGAGUUCUCACACAAUCUGAUGGUUUAAAAGUCUGUUGCAGUUCCCUGCCCACUCUCUCUCUCCUGCUGCCAUGUAAGAUGUGCCUUACUUCUUCUUUGCCUUCCGCCAUGAUUGUAUAAGUUUCCUGAGGCCUCCUCAGCCAUGCAGAACUGUGAGUCAAUUAAAUCUCUUUUGUUUACAAAUUACCCAAUCUCAGGAAGUUUUUUUUUUUUNNNNNNNNNNNNNNNNNNNNNNNNNNNNNNNNNNNNUCACCCAGGCUGGAGUGCAGUGGCGCAAUCUCAGCUCGUUGCAACCUCUGCCUCCCAGGUUCAAGUGAUUCUCAUCUCAGCCUCUUGCAUAGCUGGGAUUACAGGUGUCCGCCACCAUGCUCGGCUAAUACAGGCAGUUCUUUAUAGCAGUGUGAAAAUGGACUAAUACAUCAUUUCUCUUCAACAUUGUCCUGGAGGUAUGAGUAAAUGUAAUAAUGCACAAGAAAGAAAAGAUUGGGAAAAAAAAGAAAGUAAAACGACCUAUCUGCAAAAGACAGGACUUUCUACAUAGAAAGUCCUAUGGACUCUACAAAGUAACUACAGGCAUACCUCAUUUUAUUGUGCUUUGCUUUACUGACCUUCAAAGAUACUGCAUUAAAAAACAUUUUUUUUUUUUUUUGGCUGGUCAAAUGGUAGUGGGUAAUCAGAAGUUACUAACAUAGUGUCAUUAAAGUUGGUAUACAACCCCCCACU
rnacentral:lncRNA from 1 species